CCAAAAAUGACUCUUUCCGCCGACACUUACUAAAAAUUGACUAAAAACCAGUCUCUCCCCCGCUACACUUAAAGCUCCUUUUUUUUCUAAACCAACGAACCUAAAUCGUUUUAUUUUCUUCUUUUCUCUUCCUCAUCUCCUUCGCACUUCUUCUUCCUCUCUAGGGUUAAGAGUAGGGAGAAGCCAAGGUUUUGGCUAAGCAGCCAUGAGUGAGACGAGAUAUACAUUGCAACGACGUAAUGAACAGGGAGAGAAUGAAUUGAAGCUGUGAUGAAGUCUUCUUGUCGACAACAAACACUCGUUUGAAGAUCUGGUGAAAGGAGUGUGAAGAAGAGUAAAGGCACGGCGGAGGCGUCUUUUUCUCUUAGUCUCGCCGAAUUUCUGCAGUUAUGCGAUUUUGGCAAGAUUGAGUACAAGCCAGAAAUUUCGAAUUGGAUCAACCUAAUUGGAUUCGUCGAGCAACCUUUUCAGUUCGGUCCUUGCUCCGAUGGAAAUUUCUGGGCUGGAACUGUGAUUUCUCAGCGUUUGGGUUCAAAGUCAUAUAGUUUCUGGCUACUUCGAGACUUGGUUAAGCCACUGUGUUUGCUCUUUCAAGAAAAGGUUUAUGUGUUGUCUCCUCUGUUGACCCUUAUGAUGGUGGUGGUGGUGGUGUCAAUCUGCAACUUGAAAAUAAAGAUACAUGCCAUGCUCGAAAAUGAGUUCUAUGCUGGUGCUUACAAGACUCCGAUUGAUUUUGAAGGAAGGAUAUCAGAUUUGUUGUGAAGAACAGAGUUGCAGAUCCCAUCUAUCAAUUAUUAGACUUUAUGUCUUCAUAAGCUGGUCUCAUCUAUUGUUUAUCUCGUUGGUAUCCUUUGCCUCAAGGUUAUUGAUUUUAUGUUAGCAGCUAUGGCUAAUUUACUACACUUGACAGGGUAAAACAGUUGAAUUUGGAAGGACACAAGAGUUACGAACUUAAUAUGAUUAGUGGAGCAUCUCAAACAGAUAGUGGUGUGCAGCAAGCAAGCAGACCAUGGAGAUGCACAAUCAACAAUGGAGUUUGUUGGCAUGAAGAGAGAUGGACAGAGCAACAAGAGCAGAGAUUGUGAGAGCAUAAGUGAUGGAGCUCAUUGAGAGAUACUCAGCGGGGAAUAUGUCAGUGUAAGAUUUAUUAACUUGGCUAAGGCAAUUGAAGACAACAAGAACAGUCUCUAGGUUCAUGUUUUUGUUGGUUGUAGCACUUCUAAUAUUAGGUUAAGACUUUUAAUGUAUUGUAGUUAAGGUUAAGAUGAGAUGUACUGUAUUUUGAGGUUUUUAUAAAGUUUUUAUUAUAUAUUGA